rnacentral:rRNA from 1 species
AUUGAACGCUGGCGGCAUGCUUUACACAUGCAAGUCGAACGAGUGGCGGACGGGUGAGUAAUGCAUCGGAACGUCCCCAAUACGGGGGGCAAACUCCUCGAAAGGGUGGCUAAUACCGCAUACUAUUGGAGCGGCCGUUGUUGGAUUAGCUAGUUGGCGGGGUAAAGGCUCACCAAGGCAACACUCCGUAGCUGGUCUGAGAGGAUGACCAGCCACAUUGGGACUGAGACACGGCCCAGACUCCUACGGGAGGCAGCAGUGGGGAAUUUUGGACAAUGGGCGCAAGCCUGAUCCAGCCAUGCCGCGUGUAUGAAGAAGGCCUUCGGGUUGUAAAGUACUGUUGGCAGAGAAGCGGUAUCUGAAGAAUAAGCACCGGCUAACUACGUGCCAGCAGCCGCGGUAAUAC